CACAGGGCCUAGGUGUCCCAGGAGCCCAGGCGCUGCAGCCCUAGGGGACAAAGGGGAGGAGGAGGCGAAAGAAGUCGGGAAUGAUUCUCCUAUCCUACCAACCCGUGUGAUGGACCCUGGACCACAAGAAGAGGAAGCAGUUAGGGGCAGUGGAGUCACCCUGGGGUUGACUGCACUCAUCAUCCACAGGAUGUGCACACUUACUUCACAGACACUCUUCUGCAGUCUCAAAAUCUCACCCAUCAACUAUGACCCCUCCUACCUGCUGCCCCAACAACAUAUUUAAUCAGCAGCUAACACUAUGUAGCCCCAGGGGGUUGCAGCGCCUGGGUUCUUAGGGGGAUCCCAGGUCCCCAAAAGGAGUUUAGAAUCCAAACUGAAGAGAGCAGACAAGCACAUGAGAAAUGCGAAUAAAACUAACCACAUCUAAGGAA
rnacentral:lncRNA from 1 species